rnacentral:rRNA from 1 species
UGGGGAAUUUUGGACAAUGGGCGAAAGCCUGAUCCAGCAAUGCCGCGUGUGUGAAGAAGGCCUUCGGGUUGUAAAGCACUUUUGUCCGGAAAGAAAUCCUUGGCUCUAAUACAGUCGGGGGAUGACGGUACCGGAAGAAUAAGCACCGGCUAACUACGUGCCAGCAGCCGCGGUAAUACGUAGGGUGCAAGCGUUAAUCGGAAUUACUGGGCGUAAAGCGUGCGCAGGCGGUUUGCUAAGACCGAUGUGAAAUCCCCGGGCUCAACCUGGGAACUGCAUUGGUGACUGGCAGGCUAGAGUAUGGCAGAGGGGGGUAGAAUUCCACGUGUAGCAGUGAAAUGCGUAGAGAUGUGGAGGAAUACCGAUGGCGAAGGCAGCCCCCUGGGCCAAUACUGACGCUCAUGCACGAAAGCGUGGGGAGCAAACAGGAUUAGAUACCCUGGUAGUCCACGCCCUAAACGAUGUCAACUAGUUGUUGGGGAUUCAUUUCCUUAGUAACGUAGCUAACGCGUGAAGUUGACCGCCUGGGGAGUACGGUCGCAAGAUUAAAACUCAAAGGAAUUGACGGGGUCAUAGCUGUUGCCU